rnacentral:rRNA from 1 species
AACGAACGCUGGCGGCAUGCCUAACACAUGCAAGUCGAACGAGACCUUCGGGUCUAGUGGCGCACGGGUGCGUAACGCGUGGGAACCUGCCCUUAGGUUCGGAAUAACUCCCCGAAAGGGGUGCUAAUACCGGAUAAGGUCUUCGGACCAAAGAUUUAUCGCCUUUGGAUGGGCCCGCGUUGGAUUAGCUAGUUGGUAGGGUAAAAGCCUACCAAGGCGACGAUCCAUAGCUGGUCUGAGAGGAUGAUCAGCCACACUGGGACUGAGACACGGCCCAGACUCCUACGGGAGGCAGCAGUGGGGAAUAUUGGACAAUGGGCGAAAGCCUGAUCCAGCAAUGCCGCGUGAGUGAUGAAGGCCUUAGGGUUGUAAAGCUCUUUUAACCGGGAUGAUAAUGACAGUACCGGGAGAAUAAGCUCCGGCUAACUCCGUG